UGGUUGUCCUUCACUUCCGUUUUAGCCACGUUUCAUUUUAUUAUUAACAACCGUCGAAGAAGAGAAGUAACGAAAAGGAUUGCUAGCAAAACUGGGAAAAGCAAGGCGUGAUGGAGCCGACAAGGACAGACGAAAUCGUGGGGCUAUGGAGCUACCUCCGCUCUAUUGACUGGUCCGAGCGUUGGCUGUGGUGUUUGGGAGGGUUCCACGUGGUGUGUGCCCUGAUGACCUACCUGACCCGACAAGGGGGCCCUGUUCAAGCUGCAUACUUUGUGGUUCUGUUGAUGUUGGUAUACUUUGCUGAAAAUCUGAAUACAAUUGCUGCUGAGAAGUGGAAACAGUUUUCAAAACAGCAAUACUUUGACAGUGGUGGACUCUUCAUAUCUGUAGUGUACUCUGUCCCUCUGCUGAUCAACUGUCUCGUUAUUGUGAUAAUGUGGCUGCUGAUGACAGGGACCAUGAUGGUGAAGAUGAAGAAGAUGAAACUGAAACAACAGGCCAGGAACAAACAGAAAGCAGAGGCAAAGAAGGAAGAGGAGAAGACUAUAGAAGAGAAGAAAGAUGACUAAGUGGAACCUGUGACCAGAGUCAUUUACGUGACAUCUGGGUGUUUCUUAUUGGUGAUAUGCAUGUCUCCUUCUGACCCUGCUUCAUCAUCCAAUGGCAUGAGACAGAGCAACAAGAUUGGGGUCAUGACUCACGGACACGAAGGUGGUCUGUGGAGGAUUUAUAUGACAUCCAGACAUCUUCUGUGGACCUUGUAACCCUGACCUUGUGACUUAGUAACAAGGCUACAUUACCCAAUUGAUCCUUUGACAUGGGAAGAGAUGCUGUGAUGUGAGAGGGUGACUGCCUUUUUCUCACCUACACAUGCGAGUUACCUGCUCAUAUCUUCAGUGGCACAGAUCCAUUGUGUAAUGUGUAUUUUGUACUCUGUGAUGCAACACUGGACACUUGUUGUGAGGAGCAUGAUGGAGGGAUAAUAUCCACAUGCAGGGAGUUCAUUGAGGGAAUUAUUGUAUGUUUUUCAAAGACAUUUCCUAUUUAAUGCCUGGUUGACUUAUUGCAUUGUGUUUGAUACUGAGUGCAGCUUACUGCAAUGAUACUGAAUUAUGGAAAUGUGUGUGGGUGUAUGAGUUACUCUUAUGAAUAUGUGAGAGGGAAUGCAGACAUUGCACAGAUGUUGGGCGAGUGUGAGUGUAUAUGCGAUAUGUGGGUUGUACAGUGUUGGAGCUACUUAUCAGAGUGGUGAUUGUGUCCUUCCUGCAAGGGACCACCCUGAUAUCAGGCACCUGUAUAUUGUGUUGGGUAUCACAGUUGUUUACAUCAAUAAAUUAUACAAGUUA
rnacentral:misc_RNA from 1 species